rnacentral:rRNA from 1 species
UACGGGGGGAGCAAGCGUUGUUCGGAUUUACUGGGCGUAAAGGGCGCGUAGGCGGCCAGCACAAGUCAGUUGUGAAAUCUCCGAGCUUAACUCGGAAAGGUCAACUGAUACUGUGCGGCUAGAGUGCGGAAGGGGCAACUGGAAUUCUUGGUGUAGCGGUGAAAUGCGUAGAUAUCAAGAGGAACACCGAUGGCGAAGGCAGGUCUCUGGGCAUUAACUGACGCUGAGGAGCGAAAGCAUGGGGAGCGAACAGG